GUCUUUAUUAAAUGUUUUUAAAGUCUAACCUGCCCACUGAAAAAUUAAAUGGCCGCGGUAUUUUGACCGUGCAAAGGUAGCAUAAUAAUUUGUUUUUUAAUUGAAAACUUGAAUGAAAGGUUGGACAAAAAACAAACUGUUUUUAAUUUUAAGUUUUAAUUUUACUUUUAGGUGAAAAGGCCUAAAUAUUUUUUAAAGACGAUAAGACCCUAUAAAGCUUUUAUAAUAUAAAAUUUUAAAAAAUUUAUGUAGUUUAAUAAUAUUUAAUUUUUUGUGUUAUUUUAUUGGGGUGAUAAAAAUAUUAAAAUAAAAAACUGUUUUUAUAAUUAAACAAAAAUAUUUGAUGGAAAUUUAUUGAUCCUUAGUUUAAGAUUUUAAGUUUAAGUUACUUUAGGGAUAACAGCGUAAUUUUUUUUGAGAGCUCUUAUCGAAAAAAAAGUUUGCGACCUCGAUGUUGAAUUAGAGUUUCUUUAUCUGGUGCAGAAGCCAUAAAAGUAAGUCUGUUCGACUUUUAAAAUUCU
rnacentral:rRNA from 1 species